GACGAACGCUGGUGGCGUGCUUAACACAUGCAAGUCGAACGGAAAGGCCCUGCUUUUGUGGGGUGCUCGAGUGGCGAACGGGUGAGUAACACGUGAGUAACCUGCCCUUGACUUUGGGAUAACUUCAGGAAACUGGGGCUAAUACCGGAUUGGAGCUCCUGCUGCAUGGUGGGGGUUGGAAAGUUUCGGCGGUUGGGGAUGGACUCGCGGCUUAUCAGCUUGUUGGUGGGGUAGUGGCUUACCAAGGCUUUGACGGGUAGCCGGCCUGAGAGGGUGACCGGCCACAUUGGGACUGAGAUACGGCCCAGACUCCUACGGGAGGCAGCAGUGGGGAAUAUUGCACAAUGGGCGGAAGCCUGAUGCAGCAACGCCGCGUGCGGGAUGACGGCCUUCGGGUUGUAAACCGCUUUCGCCUGUGACGAAGCGUGAGUGACGGUAAUGGGUAAAGAAGCACCGGCUAACUACGUG
rnacentral:rRNA from 1 species